UUUGGCAGAUGGCAGUGAUGGAUGGAUUUGAAGCAACCAAAUGCAUUAGGGAAGAAGAGGCACAUUAUGGAAUUCGAAUUCCCAUCAUAGCUUUAACAGCACAUACAAAGGAAGUGACAGAUAAGAUUUUUCAAGCUGGAAUGGAUUAUUACAUAGAAAAACCGAUCAGUGAUGCUAAGCUUCUGAAAGCCAUAGAUUAUAUCGAGCAUAGAAACGUUUAAGAGUAUAGAAGGUCUAUUUCGUCGAGUUGUUAUGUGAGACAUGAACUAAGAUUUCACAUACUUUGUAUGUUCUUUCUAAAUUUAAGUUAAGCGUCUUGUUUUUACUCCUAUGUAAACAUUUUUGUGAUAUGUACAACAUGAAACGCAUACACAGAGAUUUUACUUUUGAUUUGGUGUCUACUUUGAUUUGUUUUAUUGUACUCUGUAGUUGUUACAAGAAGGCUUCUUUGACGUGUUUGCACAUUGAAUUUUAUCACUCAAUUGCAGUUAAUUAUAUAUAUAUUCAUACCUUAUUCACUAAACCAUGACGAGUUAAUAUGCUCCGACUAGUGCAGAUAAGUAUUUACCCUUUGCGAUUCCUAUUAUUUCUUACUUGCCUACCCCCUCCGUCUCUCUAAACCUACUCCCACCCGAACCCACACCCAAAACGCCCUUCUCCCAAUCCCUUCCAACUCCAAGGGAAGUAGUGUCACUCAUAUCCUCCAAAACACAAGGUACAAUGGUAAACAAAGGCAAUGGUAAAAUGGACGAGUCAGGCCCGUCACAAGGUUCCAAGAGAAGUAGGGGUGGCAAGAACACCGCCACGAAGAAAGGGGCAACAACUCGCAGUGGAAAGCAACCAGUGGUCCUUGUCCCUCGAGCCUCUUCCCAGAGGCCUCGACCUACCUUUUACGGGACUGGGUUGGCGUAAUAAUGGUACAAAGAGUUCCCCUUGGCCGAUGGAUAUGUCCAUGAACGGCCUGUCAACAGGGUGGCGUUGAAGAAAAAUUUCAGGGGAAUUUACAAUCAAAUGGUCGGAAUGGGCUGGAGCGCGAUAUUUGAUAACCCAGGGCCGGUAAACAUUGACAUGGUUCUGGAGCUUUAAUCCAACAUUAUUUUGGCAAGAACAGAGGGUGGCGAGCCUCAUUAUUCCGUGCAAUUGAGGGGUGAAUGGGUGUCUUUGACAGCCUCCACUUUGUGUGCACACUUGGGGGUUCCAGACCAUCCUGUAGGCCUAUUGCUCAAGUUCAUAAAAAGGCCUGACUAUAAGGCCAUUCGGGAAACCUUGUGUGGCCCUGAAUCCAUGGCGAAGUGGGCAAGAUACCGAGAGGAUCCAAGGAAGCACAAGACGAUGCUAAUGGGUGAUUUUCUGAAGGAGGAACGAGUGUGGCUGCGACUCCUAAAUUACCGCAUUAUGCCUCUUGACCACUUCACCACUGUGCUGAAAGAGAGAGUGGCAAUAGUGUACUUCUUCUUGACUGGGCAGCCGGUCAACAUUGGAUACUGGAUGCUUUAGGAUAUGAUCCGCAUCAGAGAAGGCAAAUCCCUCAAGCUCAGCUUCGGAAAUACACUCACAGCAUAUCUGAGGAAGUUGGUCCCGCACUUGGAGAGCAAGUCUGACAGGGUGUUUGAAUGCUCGGAUAAUCCCAUAGACAUCUCUAAUGUCAAAGACCCUAAGCAGAGCAAGUUCAACCAGACUCCAGCACAAGAAAGAUCGGCUCAAUCAACCGUGCUAACACAACUAUACAAGAUGGCGGUACUCGCUAGUGAGCAGUUUGAGCUAGAUAUCUCAAGUGUGUUUGCGGAGUGUCCUCAUACCACUUAACAAGUAUUUCAAUCUUAGUAGCUUGUUCAUAUGCAAUUGCUUCAUUACUUCUGUGUUCAAUUUCUUGAUUGUCUGCGCAACAGUUGAGUUAUAUCUACUCAUUGAUAUACGUGCUUGGGAAAGACGUUGUAAUUUGGAGAAGAAGUAAUGAGAUUGUGAUCUGAAUA